rnacentral:misc_RNA from 1 species
GAAAUGCGAUAAGUAAUGUGAAUUGCAGAAUUCAGUGAAUCAUCGAAUCUUUGAACGCACCUUGCGCUACUUGGUAUUCCUUGGAGCAUGCCUGUUUGAGGAUCAUGAAAUCUUCAAAGUAAAUCUUUUGUUAACUCAAUUGGUUUCUACUUUGGUAUUGGAGGUCUUUGCAGCUUCACACCUGCUCCUCUUUGUUCAUUAGCUGGAUCUCAGUGUUAUGCUUGGUUCCACUCGGCGUGAUAAGUUAUCUAUCGCUGAGGACACUGUAGAAGGUGGCCAAGGUAAAUGCAGAUGAACCUCUUCUAAUAGUCCAUUGACUUGGACAAUACUUUUAUGAUCUGAUCUCAAAUCAGGUAGGACUACCCGCUGAACUUAAGC